rnacentral:rRNA from 1 species
GACGAGCGCUGGCGGUGUGCUUAACACAUGCAAGUGGUGCGACGAACCAGACUUCGGUCUGGGGCAAAGCCGCGAACGGGUGAGUAACACGUGGGUAAUCUGCCCCGAUGACUGGGACAACCCGAGGAAACUCGGGCUAAUACCGGAUGAUGUGCCUGGACAUAAGUCUGGUCACUAAAGGUAGCUUCGGCUUCCGCAUUGGGAGGGGCCCGCGGCCCAUUAGCUUGUUGGUGGGGUCAAGGCCUACCAAGGCAACGAUGGGUAGCUGGUCUGAGCGGACGACCAGCCACACUGGGACUGAGACACGGCCCAGACUCCUACGGGAGGCAGCAGUGGGGAAUCUUGCGCAAUGCGCGAAAGCGUGACGCAGCAACACCGCGUGAGGGAAGACGGCCUUAGGGUUGUAAACCUCUUUCAGAUGAGACGAAGGUACGACGGUGAAUAGCCGAUCGGAUUGACGGUACCGUCAGAAGAAGCUCCGGCUAACUACGUGCCAGCCGCCGCUGUAA